UAGGGAAUCUUCCACAAUGGACGAAAGUCUGAUGGAGCAACGCCGCGUGAGUGAAGAAGGUUUUCGGAUCGUAAAGCUCUGUUGUUGGUGAAGAAGGAUAGAGGCAGUAACUGGUCUUUAUUUGACGGUAAUCAACCAGAAAGUCACGGCUAACUACGUGCCAG
rnacentral:rRNA from 1 species